GACGGGGGGUCCAAGCGUUGUUCGGAAUCAUUGGGCGUAAAGCGUGUGCAGGUGGUUUUGUAAGUUGGAUGUGAAAGCCCCGGGCUUAACCCGGGAAGUGCAUUCAAAACUGCAAAACUUGAGUAUGGAAGAGGGUCGUGGAAUUCCUGGUGUAGUGGUGAAAUACGUAGAUAUCAGGAGGAACACCAGUGGCGAAGGCGGCUCACUGGCCCGGUACUGACGCUGAGGUGCGAAAGCGUGGGGAGCAAACAGG
rnacentral:rRNA from 1 species